UCGUCGACUCUCGGAAUCAAUCGGCAAGGCUCGUCGGCCGCCAUAAGAAAUACUUGUGUAUAUCGUUUGACAGAUGUAAGUUAGUAUCGUUUGACAGAUUCGUUUGACAGAUAUAGGUUACAGUGAGGAAUAGCUGGAUGCAGAUUAUUAAGACAGAAGAAAAAAAUUUCACCAGAUACUGCAAGAAAUAGUGCACAAGAGACAGUAAUGUUGCCUUGUAAUACGUGUGUGCAUGCAGUAAAACUAUAAUAGUAGUAUUAUAUUUAUUUAUUUAUAUAUUUUAUUAUAUUUCACAUCAAGAAGAGGAGCAUAUAACAUCAUCAACAAAAGAUCUUUGAUUGAUACUAGCAGCGACAGUCGUUCCAAUAAGAGGAAACGAAGGGAUGAAUUGCUUGUUUCAUGAAGCAAAUAAUUUGAUGACGAAGCAACAGUAUUUUGGUGCUCUCCAAAAAUAGGAGCUGCCGCUGUGAAAUUUUAGUAUUUUAUCUGAGUGAAGGAUAUCUGGUAGUAAUUAUUAAAAUAUCACAAGAAGAAUCGUGCAAGUAUUACAGGAAAUACGAUAAAGUAUGACAGCUAUAUUAAAAUUUGCCAGUUAAAAUAUACUACGAUCCGACAGAGUGUACAACGGAAGGAAUUAAGUGAGCUGUACAUAAUAUAAUUGAAGCAUAAGAUGAUGAUGAGUGGUGUGGAUAACAAAUUUGCUGGGUGUCCCAAAAAUGUUGGAGGUCCUUGCAAAGAGUGGUUCGGGAGGUGAUUUGAAACAACUUUUUCCUUAGCGAAAAUGUUGUCCGAGGCUUUGUUGAGGAGAUAUUAACGGAAAACGUCGACCAAUCAGAGCGUGCGUAUACCGUUGGAGCGGCCAUGGUACGAAAGCUACGUGCUAAGCGACUCCGUCAAUGUCCUUCAAUGCACGUCGAGUCACUUGUUCACGUGCAAGCGUGGCCGCUUAGCGCGUAACC